UGUGGCUCAGUGGUAAAGCACUUGCCUAGCAUGCAUGAGGCACUGGGUUCAAUCCUCAGCA
rnacentral:tRNA from 1 species